ACGGGUCUUGAUAUUGAAUUUGGGUACGAUCUGUACAGGAUAGGUGGGAGCCGUUGAGCCUUGAGCGCCAGCUUGAGGGGAGGCAUCCUUGGGAUACCACCCUGAUCGUAUCUAGGUUCUAACUUGGUACCGUGAACCGGUGCGAGGACAGUGUCAGGUGGGCAGUUUGACUGGGGCGGUCGCCUCCUAAAGAGUAACGGAGGC
rnacentral:rRNA from 1 species